rnacentral:rRNA from 1 species
GCGAGGGCUGUCGCUGACCUUUCAGGUCGUGCACGCCCAAGUGCUCUCACACAUCCAUCUCACCCCUAUGUGCACCACCGCGUGGGUCCCCCUUUGGCUCGUUCGAAGGGGGGCUUACGUUUUCACACAAACUUUGUAUGCAGUGUAGAAUGUAUUUUUGUUUUGCGAUCACGCGAUCAAUACAACUUUCAACAACGGAUCUCUUGGCUCUCGCAUCGAUGAAGAACGCAGCGAAAUGCGAUACGUAAUGUGAAUUGCAGAAUUCAGUGAAUCAUCGAAUCUUUGAACGCACCUUGCGCCCCUUGGCAUUCCGAGGGGCACACCCGUUUGAGUGUCGUGAAAUUCUCAAAACCUUUUUCUUUGGGAAAAGGUUUUGGACUUGGAGGCCUUUUGCUGGUUUCACCUUGAAGCGAGCUCCUCCUAAAUGAAUUAGUGGGGUCUGCUUUGCCGAUCCUUGACGUGAUAAGAUGUUUCUGCGUCUUGGGUUCGGCACUGUCACCUGCUUCCAACUGUCUCAUUGACGACGAUGGCGCUCCGGUCACCACCGCUCUGUCGGUGGGAGGCUUGACCCACAAAAAAAAACCUUGACCUCAAAUCGGGUGAGACUACCCGCUGAACUUAAGCAUAUCAAUAAGCGGAGGAAAAGAAACUAACAAGGAUUCCCCUAGUAACUGCGAGUGAAGCGGGAAAAGCUCAAAUUUAAAAUCUGGKGGCCUUUGGCCAUCCGAGUUGUAAUUUARAGAAGCGUCUUCCGCGCUGGACCGUGUA